UUUUAUUUGAGAGUUUGAUCCUGGCUCAGGAUGAACGCUGGCGGCGUGCCUAACACAUGCAAGUUGAGCGAUUUACUUCGGUAAAGAGCGGCGGACGGGUGAGUAACGCGUGGGUAACCUACCCUGUACACACGGAUAACAUACCGAAAGGUAUGCUAAUACGGGAUAAUAUAUUUGAGAGGCAUCUCUUAAAUAUCAAAGGUGAGCCAGUACAGGAUGGCCCCGCGUCUGAUUAGCUAGUUGGUAAGGUACCGGCUUACCAAGGCGACGAUCAGUAGCCGACCUGAGAGGGUGAUCGGCCACAUUGGAACUGAGACACGGUCCAAACUCCUACGGGAGGCAGCAG
rnacentral:rRNA from 1 species